rnacentral:rRNA from 1 species
GACGAACGCUGGCGGCGUGCUUAACACAUGCAAGUCGAACGGAAAGGCCCUGCUUUUGUGGCGUGCUCGAGUGGCGAACGGGUGAGUAACACGUGAGUAACCUGCCCUUGACUUUGGGAUAACUUCAGGAAACAGCGGCUAUUACCGGAUAGGAGCUCCUGCUGCAUGGUGGGGGUUGGAAAGUUUCGGUGGUUGGGGAUGGAAUCGCGGCUUAUCAGCUUGUUGGUGGGGUAGUGGCUUACCAAGGCUUUGACGGGUAGCAGGCAUGAGAGGGGGACCGGCGACAUUGGUACUGAGAGACGGCCCAGACUCGUACGGGAGGCAGCAGUGGGGAAUAUUGCAGAAUGGGCGGAAGCCAGAUGCAGCAACGCCGCGUGCGGGAUGACGGCCUUCGGGUUGUAAACCGCUGUCGCCUGUGACGAAGCGUGAGUGACGGUAAUGGGUAAAGAAGCACCGGCUAACUACGUG